rnacentral:rRNA from 1 species
AUUGAACGCUGGCGGCAGGCCUAACACAUGCAAGUCGAGCGGAUGAAGAGAGCUUGCUCUCUGAUUUAGCGGCGGACGGGUGAGUAAUGCCUAGGAAUCUGCCUGGUAGUGGGGGAUAACGUCCGGAAACGGGCGCUAAUACCGCAUACGUCCUACGGGAGAAAGCAGGGGACCUUCGGGCCUUGCGCUAUCAGAUGAGCUUAGGUCGGAUUAGCUAGUUGGUGAGGUAAUGGCUCACCAAGGCGACGAUCCGUAACUGGUCUGAGAGGAUGAUCAGGCACACUGGAACUGAGACACGGUCCAGACUCCUACGGGAGGCAGCAGUGGGGAAUAUUGGACAAUGGGCGAAAGCCUGAUCCAGCCAUGCCGCGUGUGUGAAGAAGGUCUUCGGAUUGUAAAGCACUUUAAGUUGGGAGGAAGGGCAGUAAGUUAAUACCUUGCUGUUUUGACGUUACCGACAGAAUAAGCACCGGCUAACUUCGUGCCAGCAGCCGCCGUAAUAC